UACGUAGGGUGCAAGCGUUGUCCGGAAUUAUUGGGCGUAAAGAGUUCGUAGGCGGUUUGUCGCGUCUGCUGUGAAAACUCGGGGCUUAACCCCGGGCCUGCAGUGGGUACGGGCAGACUAGAGUGUGGUAGGGGAGACUGGAAUUCCUGGUGUAGCGGUGAAAUGCGCAGAUAUCAGGAGGAACACCGGUGGCGAAGGCGGGUCUCUGGGCCGUAACUGACGCUGAGGAGCGAAAGCGUGGGGAGCGAACAGG
rnacentral:rRNA from 1 species